rnacentral:rRNA from 1 species
AACGCUGGCAGAGUACAUAACACAUGCAAGUCGAGCGGGACUUACAGCGUAUCGUAAGUCUAGCGGCAGACGAGUGAGUAACACGUAAGCAACCUGCCCCUGAAUGGUGAAUAACGCCGCGAAAGCGGUGCUAAUACACCGUAUGAUCCUAGGAUGGCAUCAUCCCGGGAUGAGAGGCCCGCAAGGGUCGUUCAGGGAGGGGCUUGCGGCCCAUCAGCUAGUUGGUGAGGUAACGGCCCACCAAGGCUAUGACGGGUACCCGGCCUGAAAGGGCGAACGGGCACGAAGGCACUGAGACACGGGCCUUACUCCUACGGGAGGCAGCAGUGGGGAAUUUUGGACAAUGGGCGAAAGCCUGAUCCAUCAACUCUGCGUGAGGGACGAAGUCCUUCGGGAUGUAAACCUCUUUUGCCGGGGACGAAUACCCGCAAGGGUUUGACGGUACUCGGCGAAUAAGCCACGGCUAACUACGUGCCAGCAGCCGCGGUAAGACGUAGGUGGCGAGCGUUAUUCGGAAUUACUAGGCGUAAAGCGAGUGUAGGCGGGUGCUUAAGUCCGUCGUGAAAUCUCCCGGCCCAACUGGGAGGGGUCGAUGGAUACUGGGCGCCUAGAGUAGGGUAGGGGGCAGUGGAAUUCCCGGUGUAGCGGUGAAAUGCGUAGAUAUCGGGAGGAACACCUAUGGCGAAAGCAGCUGCCUGGUCCCUUACUGACGCUGAGGCUCGAAAGCUAGGGGAGCAAACAGGAUUAGAUACCCUGGUAGUCCUAGCCGUAAACGAUGCUGACUAGGUGUAGGAGGUAUCGACCCCUCCUGUGCCGCCGCUAACGCAUUAAGUCAGCCGCCUGGGGAGUACGGCC